AUGCAAGUCGAGGGGUAUAGGUUUUCGGACCUAGAGACCGGCGCACGGGUGCGUAACGCGUAUGCAAUCUACCUUUCACAAAGGGAUAGCCCAGAGAAAUUUGGAUUAAUACCUUAUAGUAUAUAGAGAUGGCAUCAUUUUUAUAUUAAAGAUUUAUCGGUGAAAGAUGAGCAUGCGUCCCAUUAGCUAGUUGGUAAGGUAACGGCUUACCAAGGCAACGAUGGGUAGGGGUCCUGAGAGGGAGAUCCCCCACACUGGUACUGAGACACGGACCAGACUCCUACGGGAGGCAGCAGUGAGGAAUAUUGGACAAUGGGCGCAAGCCUGAUCCAGCCAUGCCGCGUGCAGGAUGACGGUCCUAUGGAUUGUAAACUGCUUUUGCACAGGAAGAAACAACAUUACGUGUAAUGUCUUGACGGUACUGUGAGAAUAAGGAUCGGCUAACUCCGUGCCAGCAGCCGCGGUAAUACGGAGGAUCCAAGCGUUAUCCGGAAUCAUUGGGUUUAAAGGGUCCGUAGGCGGUUUAGUAAGUCAGUGGUGAAAGCCCAUCGCUCAACGGUGGAACGGCCAUUGAUACUGCUAAACUUGAAUUAUUAGGAAGUAACUAGAAUAUGUAGUGUAGCGGUGAAAUGCUUAGAGAUUACAUGGAAUACCAAUUGCGAAGGCAGGUUACUACUAAUAUAUUGACGCUGAUGGACGAAAGCGUGGGUAGCGAACAGGAUUAGAUACCCUGGUAGUCCACGCCGUAAACGAUGGAUACUAGCUGUUGGGAGCAAUCUCAGUGGCUAAGCGAAAGUGAUAAGUAUCCCACCUGGGGAGUACGUUCGCAAGAAUGAAACUCAAAGGAAUUGACGGGGGCCCGCACAAGCGGUGGAGCAUGUGGUUUAAUUCGAUGAUACGCGAGGAACCUUACCAAGGCUUAAAUGUAGAUUGACCGGUUUGGAAACAGACUUUUCGCAAGACAAUUUACAAGGUGCUGCAUGGUUGUCGUCAGCUCGUGCCGUGAGGUGUCAGGUUAAGUCCUAUAACGAGCGCAACCCCUGUUGUUAGUUGCCAGCAGUCAUGUCGGGAACUCUAACAAGACUGCCAGUGCAAACUGCGAGGAAGGUGGGGAUGACGUCAAAUCAUC
rnacentral:rRNA from 1 species